rnacentral:rRNA from 1 species
AUACGGAGGGGGCAAGCGUUGUUCGGAAUCACUGGGCGUAAAGGGCGCGUAGGCGGUUAUGCUAGUCAGGUGUGAAAUCCCCCAGGCUUAACUUGGGAACUGCGCUUGAAACUGCAUAGCUUGAGGCCGGGAGAGGAAAGUGGAAUUCCUGGUGUAGCGGUGAAAUGCGUAGAUAUCAGGAGGAACACCGGUGGCGAAGGCGGCUUUCUGGACCGGUUCUGACGCUGAAGCGCGAAAGCGUGGGGAGC